UACAGAGGUCCCAAGCGUUGUUCGGAUUCACUGGGCGUAAGGGGUGCGUAGGCGGUCGGGUAAGUCUGAUGUGAAAUCUCACAGCUUAACUGUGAAACUGCAUUGGAUACUAUCCGGCUCGAGGAAUGGAGGGGAGACUGGAAUACUUGGUGUAGCAGUGAAAUGCGUAGAUAUCAAGUGGAACACCAGUGGCGAAGGCGAGCCUCUGGACAUUUCCUGACGCUGAGGCACGAAAGCCAGGGGAGCAAACGGG
rnacentral:rRNA from 1 species